rnacentral:rRNA from 1 species
AGUCAAUAGAUACCCCGGUAGUCCACGCCGUAAACGAUGAGUACUAGGUGUAGGAGGUAUCGACUCCCUCUGUGCCGCAGUUAAACACAAUAAGUACUCCGCCUGGGAAGUACGGUCGCAAGAUUAAAACUCAAAGGAAUUGACGGGGGCCCGGCACAAGCAGCGGAGCAUGUGGUUUAAUUCGAAGCAACGCGAAGAACCUUACCUAGACUUGACAUCUCCUGAAUAGUGUAGAGAUACAUGAAGCCCUUCGGGGUCGAGGAAGACAGGUGGUGCAUGGUUGUCGUCAGCUCGUGUCGUGAGAUGUUGGG